rnacentral:rRNA from 1 species
AUUGAACGCUGGCGGCAUGCCUUACACAUGCAAGUCGAACGGUAACAGGCCGCAAGGUGCUGACGAGUGGCGAACGGUGAGUAAUGCAUCGGAACGUGCCCAGUCGUGGGGGAUAACUGCUCGAAAGAGCAGCUAAUACCGCAUACGACCUGAGGGUGAAAGCGGGGGACCGUAAGGCCUCGCGCGAUUGGAGCGGCCGAUGUCAGAUUAGCUAGUUGGUGGGGUAAAGGCCUACCAAGGCAACGAUCUGUAGUUGGUCUGAGAGGGCGACCAGCCACACUGGGACUGAGACACGGCCCAGACUCCUACGGGAGGCAGCAGUGGGGAAUUUUGGACAAUGGGCGCAAGCCUGAUCCAGCAAUGCCGCGUGCAGGAAGAAGGCCUUCGGGUUGUAAACUGCUUUUGUCAGGGAAGAAAUCUUCUGGGCUAAUACCCCGGGGGGAUGACGGUACCUGAAGAAUAAGCACCGGCUAACUACGUGCCAGCCGCCGCAGUAAUAC